CUUUAUAUCUUCAAGAAAGCAAGUUCCUCUUAUCUCCUUCAAGCUUGUGACUCCAUAGAAAGGGAAGAAAACAUCUUCCUUCAUCUCCAAGCCGUGUGUACCUCAUCUCUACCCAUUUUCGGUUUUGCCUCAAAGCUUGAAACUAAAGCUUGAUUUUAUCUUCCAAAUGGUGAAAUAUUGAAGGACCUAUAUUGACAUUGGAAGUAUCGAGGAGCAUAGAGGUAAUGACGAAAAGGCUAGGGAGCAAGGCACUACUGCAGAGGGAGAGGCAGAUGCUUAGUGUCUUCCCUAACUAGAACAGUUAUGUUUAUGGAUGAUGGGUUAUGUUUAUAGUAAAACAUUCUAUUUGAUCU